GACGAACGCUGGCGGCGUGCCUAAUACAUGCAAGUAGAACGCUGAAGGAGGAGCUUGCUCUUCUGGAUGAGUUGCGAACGGGUGAGUAACGCGUAGGUAACCUGCCUGGUAGCGGGGGAUAACUAUUGGAAACGAUAGCUAAUACCGCAUAAAAUUGAUUAUUGCAUGAUAGUCAAUUAAAAGGUGCAAUUGCAUCACUACCAGAUGGACCUGCGUUGUAUUAGCUAGUUGGUGAGGUAACGGCUCACCAAGGCAACGAUACAUAGCCGACCUGAGGGGGUGAUCGGCCACACUGGGACUGAGACACGGCCCAGACUCCUACGGGAGGCAGCAGUAGGGAAUCUUCGGCAAUGGACGGAAGUCUGACCGAGCAACGCCGCGUGAGUGAAGAAGGUUUUCGGAUCGUAAAGCUCUGUUGUAAGAGAAGAACGAGUGUGAGAGUGGAAAGUUCACACUGUGACGGUAUCUUACCAGAAAGGGACGGCUAACUACGUG
rnacentral:rRNA from 1 species